GAUGAACGCUAGCGGCAGGCCUAAUACAUGCAAGUCGAACGAGCUUGAUUUCUUCGGAAGUCAGGUUAGUGGCGCACGGGUGCGUAACGCGUAUGCAACCUACCUUCUAUUGGGGGAUAGCCUUCCGAAAGGAAGAUUAAUACCGCAUACCACUAUUUGAGGGCAUCCGAAGAUAGUGAAAGCUGAGGCGAUAGAAGAUGGGCAUGCGUGCCAUUAGCUAGUUGGUUGAGGUAACGGCUCACCAAGGCGACGAUUGCUAGGGGUUCUGAGAGAAUGGGCCCCCACACUGGUACUGAGACACGGACCAGACUCCUACGGGAGGCAGCAGUAGGGAAUAUUGGGCAAUGGCCGAGAGGCUGACCCAGCCAUGCCGCGUGCAGGAAGAAGGCCUUCUGGGUUGUAAACUGCUUUUAUCUAGGAAGAAAACGCCCAUGCGUGGGUAACUGACGGUACUAGAUGAAUAAGCACCGGCUAACUCCGUGCCAGCCGCCGCCGUAAUAC
rnacentral:rRNA from 1 species